rnacentral:rRNA from 1 species
UACGAAGGGGGCUAGCGUUGUUCGGAUUAACUGGGCGUAAAGCGCGCGUAGGCGGGUUUUUAAGUCAGGGGUGAAAUCCCAAGGCUCAACCUUGGAACUGCCUUUGAUACUGGAAAUCUUGAGUCCGGGAGAGGUGAGUGGAACUGCGAGUGUAGAGGUGAAAUUCGUAGAUAUUCGCAAGAACACCAGUGGCGAAGGCGGCUCACUGGCCCGGUACUGACGCUGAGGUGCGAAAGCGUGGGGGAGCAAACAGG